UAAAAUAACCAUGGAUCACAUUGGGUAGGCAGGACAUGACUCCAAAGAGCUCUGCUGGAAUAUCCACAUAUGUUCUGUUGCAUGAUGCUUUAUUUGUCCCAGAAGAAUUAAGAUGACAGAUGAUAGCUGAGGUUUGAACUUGUGCAUCAGGAAGGCCACUUUGAAUAUAAAGGGGGCAGUGUGCGUUUUGUGAAACUAGCGAUGCAAAGAGGAUGCAGCGGAGGAACGGCCGGCAGUGUCAUUGGAACGAUGACAUUUCUGUGGAAACGAGGCAGUUGUUUAUGGUGCUGUGUGCAGUUCUUGAAGCCAGCCCAGAAACAGGGCAGGGGUUUAAGGGGAGGCAGGCGGAGGUGCCUGCGGAGCUCCAGCGCUGCUGCUCCCGGAGCCCUGGGGCAGCGGGGCUGCGACCUCAGGGACACCUCACUGGGACUGUCUGAUGUGUGUGAGUCCGUGUGUGUCUGUGUAACAUCGGGAAGGCCUUACCACCCGAGUUAAGACUUAGCUGCUGAAGGAAAAAGAGGAAUUUUGGCCGGUACCCACUGUAAAUAGUUUUUUGUUUCUGCAGGCGAACCGGAGAGAGAGGUGGAGUCUAAAGAAGUAGCGUUCCAUCACUUUCAACUUGGUGACUGAAGUUCUUUAGGAGAGAAGAGAGUUGUCCCUGGAAAGCGGUGUAAGGAUGAGUGGCCGCUGGGAAUCUCCCCCUUUUCCCGGUGCGAUCAGUUUUGUUGCUGAGUGCCCUCUGGAGGUUUUGGACCCGCAGCGACCCGGGCUAUCGAGGCUGUGUCUGAGCUUUUCAGGACUCCUUGCUUCAAAGUUCUCGUUGGGGCUAAAGGGAAACUGCUAAAAUACCCUUUGAGCCUCUUCUUGCAAGAUAUAUCAGAGAUCUCAGGGGAAGCCUGUUAUCCUUAUUCUUCCAGCCAAGUUCUGUAGCCAGAGGAACUCUGGAUAACUUCAGUAAGUAUUGGAACUUUUGGGUGCUCAUUUUUGGUUUUCUUGUAAUCUCUAAAUUCUCCACUUUUGUCUACACUUAUUCCCCUAAGUGUAUCAGUUAAAAUAAAUACCUGCAGUUGCCCUG